rnacentral:rRNA from 1 species
GUAACACGUGGGUAACCUGCCUGUAAGACUGGGAUAACUCCGGGAAACCGGAGCUAAUACCGGAUAGUUCCUUGAACCGCAUGGUUCAAGGAUGAAAGACGGUUUCGGCUGUCACUUACAGAUGGACCCGCGGCGCAUUAGCUAGUUGGUGGGGUAAUGGCUCACCAAGGCGACGAUGCGUAGCCGACCUGAGAGGGUGAUCGGCCACACUGGGACUGAGACACGGCCCAGACUCCUACGGGAGGCAGCAGUAGGGAAUCUUCCGCAAUGGACGAAAGUCUGACGGAGCAACGCCGCGUGAGUGAUGAAGGUUUUCGGAUCGUAAAGCUCUGUUGUUAGGGAAGAACAAGUGCGAGAGUAACUGCUCGCACGGGGGGGGGACCUAACCCCAAAGCCACGG